CCAGUGAUGUGCAAGUCGCGGGAAACCGUGGAACGCUCAAGUAUCUACAGCCUGCUUGUAACAAGACAGCGGUUUACCCACGAAGAUAGAUAUUUUUUGCCUUGUAGCUAUGCAAGUAAUAUUGACAACGUAUAGCCUAACAUAGUCUUUCCCCAACGAUAUUAGAAUUAAAGAUAAUGUUUUGUUACUUUAGUUGUGAUUGGUGUUUUGAAUCGAAACGGAACGAGAGCUAUGUUAUCUCCUAUAGAAUUUCUGAUGUUAUCACUGACUAUUUACUCUUUCGGUGCAGCUAUUGAUGAUUUUAACAUGGAUAUGGGUCGGGACAGUUUUGGGAAAGAUAAAGUGAACUUGUUGGAACAUCUAUCCCUUCUGGCCCUGAACAACGCUAACGCGUCCUUAACUGUGGGGAUCCAGACGUGUCUGACUCUUCACGUGGGCCUGUACGCCACUCUAGCGUUGGCCACGUACCAGGCGUUUGGACCACGGUUUACGGAUGAGUUCAGCGUGCUGAUGGAGCUGUGCAGCGUUCAGCAGGAGGAGAGCAGCCUGGUGACCGUGCUCAGUCCUUACAACCACAUCCAGCUCCAGCUCCGCCUCAGGCCAUACGCUCUCACGUUCAUCUCCACCCAUCAUAGACAUUACGAGUUCCCAGUAGGUGUCCUGUCUGAUGGCCAGUGGCACCGGGUGUCUCUUGGAGUGUCUACCAGUUGGCUGGCCCUGUAUGUGGACUGUGAACUGGUGGAGAGGGUGACCUGGACAUACCCUGAACAAGACAUUACCACUGACGGCCUGCUGAUGCUGGGAGGCAUCCUUGAGGGCUUUGAGACCCCAUUUGAAGGUGCUUUACGACAGAUGACCUUUGUGAUGGGUGAUGCUGAUGCAGCCAGAGACCACUGUAGCCACCACCUCCCUGUAUGUAACAGGAAGGCCCUGAACGCUCCACGCUCUGCUAGGACUCCCCAUGCACACCAGGAUGUGGCUUUCUCUGGUGACCUGCUAGAUGAUUUGAUAAACGGUACUGGGAGUUCAAGAGAGAGUUCCACUGAUAUAACAGAUGAUGUCAUGGCUGCCUCCCUCCCAAAGAACAACUCUCCCGUCUCCCGGCACUCAGCAGCCCUACAGAACAGGAAGGGUUCCUACCCCUCUAUGCUCACCCUGCACCCGGGUACAGGUGGCCAUUCCAGUGGGCCCUCUAAAGUUAUAUCCUCGGAUGAGAACAUCACCACAGAGCGUGACAUCAUCGACCUGGACCCCCGCAGCCCCUCCCCAGACCCCGGUGUGUUCAUGGAAGAGAACCUGCUGCCCGCUGAGGUGUUACCAGCGAAGCAGGGAAAGACUAGCGGUAGCCCUAUCAUACGGAGAAGCCGCGGGAAGAGUGCUGAUGUAGGACGGGCUAGAUCUGACCACACAGGCUUACUGACAGUGGCCCCUAAUCCUAGUGAGGGA
ensembl:lncRNA